AAUAGAACCCCAUUUUUUAUUUUUGAAAGAAUAAAUAAUUAAAUAUUUGCCUCUUUAAUUUUGUUGUUUUCCACAUUCAUCCUAUUUCUUUUAAUCUGAAUUAAAAAAAAAAAAAGACCAGAGCUCUGCUAGGGUUUUUACCCCCUACCUAUCAACGCCGUUCCUUGUUUCUCCCUCUCCGCAGUAGCUCGCUCUCUGAUCUUCUCUCUGCGUCGUGCUCUUCUCUGAUCCUCUCAUCCACGCAGUUGAUCGUUCUGUCUUGCACAAUGCUUGUUUUCUGAUUCUCGACGCCGUAAUACACCGCCACCGCCACCGCUGCCGCUACACUCGGUCCACCACUUCAUUGUUUUCUGUCACCUCUCUGUUCCUCUACGACUCUAAUCUCUGUCAUUUUUCCUCCACCUCUGCCUCUGCGACCUACUUCUUUAAGGGAAGACUCCGUAAGGACAUGCAUGUUUCCAUUGGAUUAUGAGUAAAUUUCAGAGAUUGUAUCAUUAGGAAGUCAAUGAUGUUUUCAAUUAUGCUGAUUUUCUAGGUAAAGUAAAAUAAAAUAAGGAUGACUCAGGGAUUGAUUUUAUCUCAUGAUGUCUUUUGUAAAACUUAUCAGUUUAAACUUUAGAAAUAUUUAAAUUUCUUUAUGCCUUUGUCCAUGUAGAUAAGAUAGAAUUUAAAACACAGCUAGUUCCUUUAUUUUAUAUGUAAAGAUGGAGCCUUUUUGUUCUUUGUUAAUCAUUCUCUGUAUUUCUUUUUUAAGAUUUAGACUUUAGUUAUUGUAUUAUUAUAAAUCUUCCUUUUGAGAACUGAUAUGUGCUUUCCAGGAAAACACUAAAUGAUUUUUUCAGGUCAAACGCUGUGAAGGAUGUUAUGUACUAUGGCUCAUGUACGUUAACAGUCAGAGGAAGCUUGAUGAUCGGCUUGCUGCCUAUGUGUGUGUAUGCUUGUUAGGAUUUUUCCCAUUUUUCUUUAUUUGCUGUAGCACUUCAUAGCCUUUACACCAAAUUAUUAUUGUGGUGUCAUAAUGUCUUUGACAUUGUAACUUCAUAAAUUGUUAUA